UAUACCUAAUUAUCACAAAAUAUUUUGUAAUUUUUUUUUUAUAAUUUAAUUGCCAUGCGGUUUACGUGUAUCUAGCAUGUUCUUUUAUUUUUUACAAUUAACUCAAUAUGUUUCAUACAAGUUCAUGUUCGGAAUAAAUUUCAGUUUUUAUCUAAAAAAAAAACAGUAUUACAGAAAACAUCUAACAACAAGUUACCUAAAUAAUGUAGAAUAUAGAUAUAGACACAUAUAGUUAGGUUGUUUCCAGAAUAGUUUAGUUUAUGCUAUUAAUGAUGAAAUACCUUGUUCUCACUAAGCAGUGUAUAAUUUCACAUGACUAUGUCCAUGGAAGUGCUAUAAUAAUGAUGCCACUAUCUCUCAAUUUCUGUUUGGCCAACUUCGUCUAAACCGCAACACUAGAUGAUUAUCAUAUUUUUGAUUUGUACACAUCAAAAUAAAUUUAUUUAUGAAUACUAUAAGAUUAAUGUUUUAUGGAAACAUCCACAUAGUUGAACGUCGAUUGCGGUCGGAAGUUCACAAAAAUCUACAUUCAGACUAUUAAAUGCCGUUAUGUUUAUUUUAGGUCCACCACAAUCAUAUGCAAUAAAUCCUAGUGUUUGUU